UACGUAGGGGGCAAGCGUUGUCCGGAAUCAUUGGGCGUAAAGCGCGUGUAGGCGGCUUGGUAAGUCUGCUCUGAAAGCCCGGGGCUCAACCCCGGGAGGCGGGUGGAUACUGUCAAGCUCGAGUCCGGAAGAGGAGUGUGGAAUUCCUGGUGUAGCGGUGAAAUGCGCAGAUAUCAGGAGGAACACCAAUGGCGAAGGCAG
rnacentral:rRNA from 1 species